rnacentral:rRNA from 1 species
CGGUUAAAAAGCUCGUAGUUGGAUCUCGGCAAGUAGAGGGCGGUAUGCUUCGUAGCAUUACUGCCCUAUUACUUGUAGUUUUGCCAGAGGUUCCUGGGUGCUCUUAAUCGAGUGUCUAGGGAUGCUGGCAGGUUUACUUUGAAAAAAUUAGAGUGCUCAAAGCAGGCUAUUACGCUUGAAUAUUCGUGCAUGGAAUAAUAGAAUAGGAAGUUGUUUCUAUUUUGUUGGUUUUCGGAAAUCGACUUAAUGAUUAAUAGGGACAGUCGGGGGCAUUUGUAUUCAAACGACAGAGGUGAAAUUCUUGGACCGUUUGAAGACAAACUACUGCGAAAGCAUUUGCCAAGAAUGUUUUCAUUGAUCAAGAACGAAAGUUAGAGGUUCGAAGGCGAUUAGAUACCGCCCUAGUUCUAACCAUAAACGAUGCCAGCUAGCGAUCUGAGGACGUUUUUUUUGUAGACUCCUCAGGAAGCUUCCGGGAAACCCAAAGCGUGUGGGUUCCGGGGGAAGUAUGGUUGCCAAGCUGAAACUUAAAGGAAUUGACGGAAGGGCACCA